GGCAUUGCUACAGACUAGACAUGCAGUCGUACGCUUCUUUUUCCACCGGAGCUUGCUCCACCGGAAAAAGAAGAGUGGCGAACGGGUGAGUAACACGUGGGUAACCUGCCCAUCAGAAGGGGAUAACACUUGGAAACAGGUGCUAAUACCGUAUAACAAUCGAAACCGCAUGGUUUUGAUUUGAAAGGCGCUUUCGGGUGUCGCUGAUGGAUGGACCCGCGGUGCAUUAGCUAGUUGGUGAGGUAACGGCUCACCAAGGCCACGAUGCAUAGCCGACCUGAGAGGGUGAUCGGCCACAUUGGGACUGAGACACGGCCCAAACUCCUACGGGAGGCAGCAGUAGGGAAUCUUCGGCAAUGGACGAAAGUCUGACCGAGCAACGCCGCGUGAGUGAAGAAGGUUUUCGGAUCGUAAAACUCUGUUGUUAGAGAAGAACAAGGAUGAGAGUAACUGUUCAUCCCUUGACGGUAUCUAACCAGAAAGCCACGGCUAACUACGUGCCAGCAGCCGCGGUAAUACGUAGGUGGCAAGCGUUGUCCGGAUUUAUUGGGCGUAAAGCGAGCGCAGGCGGUUUCUUAAGUCUGAUGUGAAAGCCCCCGGCUCAACCGGGGAGGGUCAUUGGAAACUGGGAGACUUGAGUGCAGAAGAGGAGAGUGGAAUUCCAUGUGUAGCGGUGAAAUGCGUAGAUAUAUGGAGGAACACCAGUGGCGAAGGCGGCUCUCUGGUCUGUAACUGACGCUGAGGCUCGAAAGCGUGGGGAGCAAACAGGAUUAGAUACCCUGGUAGUCCACGCCGUAAACGAUGAGUGCUAAGUGUUGGAGGGUUUCCGCCCUUCAGUGCUGCAGCUAACGCAUUAAGCACUCCGCCUGGGGAGUACGACCGCAAGGUUGAAACUCAAAGGAAUUGACGGGGGGCCCGCACAAGCGGUGGGAGCAUGGUGGUUUAAUUCGAAGCACGGCGAGGAACCUUACCAGGUCUUGG
rnacentral:rRNA from 1 species